UUACGGCCAUAUGACAUUGCAACACCAGUUCUCGUCGAUCACCGAAGUUAAGCAACGUUGAACCUGGUCUGUACCUAGAUGGGUGACCACUCGAGAAUG